rnacentral:rRNA from 1 species
GUCCUUAGUGGCGCACGGGUGAGUAACACGUGGGAACAUACCUUAUAGUACGGAAUAACUGCGGGAAACUGUAGCUAAUACCGUAUAUUCCAGUAAUGGGAAAGAUUUAUCGCUAUAAGAUUGGCCCGCGCAAGAUUAGCUUGUUGGUGAGGUAAAAGCUCACCAAGGCUUCGAUCUUUAGCUGGUUUGAGAGGAUGAUCAGCCACACUGGGACUGAGACACGGCCCAGACUCCUACGGGAGGCAGCAGUAGGGAAUAUUGGACAAUGGGGGCAACCCUGAUCCAGCAAUGCAGCGUGAGUGACGAAGGCCUUAGGGUUGUAAAACUCUUUCAUCGGUGAGGAUAAUGACAGUAGCCGAAGAAGAAGGACCGGC